rnacentral:tRNA from 1 species
GGGUAUAUAGCUCAGUGGUAGAGCACAUGCUUAGCAUGAGUAAGGUCCUGGGUUCAAUCCUCAGUACCUC